rnacentral:rRNA from 1 species
CAGUAGCCGCGGUAAUACGUAGGUGGCAAGCGUUGUCCGGAAUUAUUGGGCGUAAAGGGCUCGCAGGCGGUUUCUUAAGUCUGAUGUGAAAGCCCCCGGCUCAACCGGGGAGGGUCAUUGGAAACUGGGAAACUUGAGUGCAGAAGAGGAGAGUGGAAUUCCACGUGUAGCGGUGAAAUACGUAGAGAUGUGGAGGAACACCAGUGGCGAAGGCGACUCUCUGGUCUGUAACUGACGCUGAGGAGCGAAAGCGUGGGGAGCGAACAGGAUUAGAUACCCCAGUAGUCCCUGUCUCUUAUAC